rnacentral:rRNA from 1 species
UACGUAGGGCGCGAGCGUUGUCCGGAAUCACUGGGCGUAAAGGGCGCGUAGGCGGCGCGGAAAGUCGUCGGUGAAAGCUCGGGGCUCAACCCUGAGUCUGCCGGUGAUACUCCCGCGCUCGAGCUCACUAGAGGCAGAUGGAAUUCCGGGUGUAGCGGUGGAAUGCGUAGAGAUCGGGAGGAACACCAGUGGCGAAGGCGGCCAUCUGGGACAACACUGACGCUGAGGCACGAAAGCGUGGGGAGCAAACAGG